rnacentral:rRNA from 1 species
AUAUGCCUAUAUCAUAGCGUUAAUGCACUGGAUCCCAUUAGAACUUUGUAGUUAAGAAUGCUUAAGUUAGAGUUGUAUUGGGAUGGGUGAUCGCCCGAGAAGUCCUAGUAUUUUACAUGCC